CAAUAGCGUAUAUUAAAGUUGUUGCAGUUAAAAAGCUCGUAGUUGGAUUUGUGGCGUACGGUGUGUUCCGGGCACUUGUUGCCUGAGUAACCUGCUGUUGCCAUCCUUGGGUGGAACCUGUGUGGCAUUGGGUUGUCGUGCAGGGGAUGCCCAUCAUUUACUGUGAAAAAAUUAGAGUGUUCAAAGCAGGCUUAUGCCGUUGAAUAUAUUAGCAUGGAAUAAUGAGAUAGGACUUUUUUGCUAUUUUGUUGGUUUGCGCAAAGAGGUAAUGAUUAAUAGGGACAGUUGGGGGUAUUCGUAUUCCAUUGUCAGAGGUGAAAUUCUUGGAUUUUUGGAAGACGAACUACUGCGAAAGCAUUUACCAAGGAUGUUUUCAUUAA
rnacentral:rRNA from 1 species